UUGAAAGACCAGUUCCCGUACGAUCAUCGAAGUUAAGCAACGUCGAGCCUGAUCAGUACCUAGAUGGGUGACCGCUUGGGAAUACCAGGUACAGUA